rnacentral:tRNA from 1 species
GAGCCUGAGUCCACCUGGUGGUGGAGCUGGAUUGCAAACCCGGCUGCGGUGAGUUCAAUUCUCACCAGGCUCU